UGCCUGUACAGUAAGCCACAUGAUCCCAU
rnacentral:piRNA from 1 species